GCAACAGCUUGAGUCCCCUUACUGUAGGGAUGAGACAAAUAACCUUUCUUUAAAACGUUGUAACCUCGUUAUUUCCCAUCCAUACUAUCCAGCCAUAUGUGAUAAAAGGUAGCAGCUGCAAUAUACAUUUGAUGCAUCCUCCACCAAGUGCCAAAACUAAAGCAGCUGAUAGCAACAAAUAUGCACAUAAAUGCCAGCAAGAAGCCAAAAGUUAUGUUACAGAUUCCAUCCAGUUAAGGUCCAGGUAACAAGCUCUCCGAUCUUCAGAUUUCCUGUCAUCGAAAUGCAGAGUCAAAACAUGCAUCAGCAGUAUGAAUAUUUAAAAUUAUCCUAGAUAUUUUACAUUAAUAGGUAAGAUUUCCUAGAGACUUUGACAAUUAAUUAGCCAACUAGUACCCAAAAAUUUCCCAAGUCAGGAUGCAAAGUGUUUCAUUCACAAAUCAUGUGAGAACCUAGUGAAGGUGAAGACCAGAAAACUCUAAGUAGAAUCAUGAUCAUGAUCACGAUGCAAAUGUUUCAUUUACAAAUCAUAUAUAAGAUUUAGGUGAAGAUAAAAACCAAGUACACUCUAAAAUCCUAAGUUGAAUCAUGAUGCUCGUGUUUUCAUUUACAAAUCAAACAAGAUUCUUGUAAAGAUUAAGUACUUAAACAGCUCAAGUCGAAUCAAAG
rnacentral:lncRNA from 1 species